UAUGUGAUGUUGGUUUAAACUCAAGUGUAACUAUUUCGGGUAAUUUCCAAUGGGUGUGAUGUUCCUUUUUUUUUUAUUUCUUUGAUCAUUAGUUGCAAAAACUUGGUAUGUCAUGGAUGUGCCAUAUAGAGCAACUGGGUGAAAGGUUUCUGAAUUAUUCUACGUGUUUACCAUGAAUACACGUGUGCUGCUAGAAGCUUUGACUGUCAUAUAUACGAGGCCAAGUUCCAAAAUAAAACGUUCAUUCACACCUGUUGUUCUCACCUUUCGAGUAACCGAUUAGUUAAAUAUAGGCAUAACACCACGUGCCCUUAGACUUAGUCAUGUGUGCAUCCCUUCCAAACCAGUUGCAUACAUGUCUGUUACUAUAAAUACCACGGCUUGCAAGGACAAGACAGAUCACACUAAUCAGAUUAAGAAGAAGCAUAAAUCAACUCAAACUGAUAACCAGCCCCCUGUCAUAGGUUAUCAGCCCCCUGUCAUAGCGCGUACAAUGGCAUCCUUGGCAAGAUCUGCUCGUCUUCUCGCCAUCAUGUUCCUCAUCGUUGUCGCGGUGAUGAUCACGACCAGCCCCAUCGUAGAAUGCGCGAUCAAUUUCGAUCCCAACGCCGGCGAACGGCUCAAGAAGAAUAUAGAGCGCCCCCACUGAAUGCAAUGGUGUCACCCGAGCAGGAGGUGGUGCUGAGGGCCACCACGGAGAAAUCCCUCAGUCUUGAUGGUGGCUAUCUCUAUUGCAAUCUGAUGUGCCAAAAUUAAAUAAUAAUAAUAAAUGGAUAGAAUUAGUGCCUCGGUAUGUAUGCAUGCACAUAGGGGAUCAAAUUUGUGAGUACCAAAUCCAGCUGGCUCGGUGCCUAUUUAUUGUAAAAAUGUCAGUCAGGUUGAAUAAAUAAAUGUUCAAGUUAA